UUUUAUGAUUGGUUGUAUGUGAACAAGAGAGAAAGUAUAAAUAAAAAGUGAAGCGGUUGUCCAGAGCAGUCCCUUGUCUUGGACACAGUUUUCACAUCAGCUGACACCAGCUUCUGAAGCAACAUCACCGACGCCACCUGAACUGCUGCAGAUUCGGAAGCAGCUGAAUCAACCAUCCAAGAGAGAAAACCAGACCAUCACAACACCAAGAGAAAUACAAGAUGGCUGUUUCAAGAAUUAUAUACCCUGCUGGACUUGGAGAGAACGCCAGGAGACAGUACAAAGAGAAGAUUCUGAUGAAUCAUGCAGAUGUUCUCUUUGAGGACACUAGAGCAGAUGGGUCAAGGUGCAACCUCAUCUUCUUUACUCAUUUUAAAGAAGACUGGGAAACUGUAAUAUGCAAUGCUUAUCCUGGGACCGUGAAAAGUCGACCAGAGGGUAAAAUCAAACUGGAUCUCUCCGACAACAAGGGCACUGUAUGCAUAUUCCCUAGUGGAAAGGUUCUGAUACAAGGUACACCAGAAAACCUUGAAGCAUUUGUAAUCAGUUUUGAAAAGCUACGUGAAGAGAUGCAAACAGAAACAGUAACAAGACUGACAAAAGAAAUGAGGCUUGAAUCCAAUCGUGAAACAGAAUGACAUUCUGAUGAGGCAGGGAUCAAUGUCCAGGGACCAAAGUCCCUCUCCCGAAAUAAAAUAACAGGGAGAAAAGACAAAGCUUAGGUCUGUUUAGCAAGUUCAGACAGACCAGAAAAAAAAACAAACCAUAUGAUCAUUAUGCAGUACAUCACUUCCAAUUAAAGCUUUUUCCCACAAAUUUAUUUCAUGAAUGGGUGACUGGGUUGUAAAAUCAAUCACAUAUUUUUCCUGAUUUGCAUGUGUUGCGUAUGUGUGUCAUACACUGCAUAUCUUUGACAAUUUCUGGUUCUGGUCUUUACAUCCUGUUUUAGAAUGAUGCCACAAUAAUCGAAAAUUUAACAUCACAUGUAAAGGAAAUGUAAUGAUGAUGUAUCUUAUGACUGUAUCUUAUAACCAUAGCACAUUAUAUUCUGUCUGCAAGUUACAGAGGAAUUAAAGAGCAGUCUUGUACUCACUGA